rnacentral:lncRNA from 13 species
AUGAUAAGACCCAUGUGGCGCAGUCACCCUGUCCCUCGACGGGAUAGCCAUCCAGCCAGUGAUGGACCUGCCAGAGGACUGCAGAUGCUUGACUCAGCUGUCACCUGUUCCAGGAAGUCUUCAUUGAACUCUGCUGCUUCCCAGCCAGCCUUCUCAUUUCGAGAUGGAGUCUCUCUAUAUUGCCCAGGCUGGAGUGCAGUGGCUAUUCACAGGCGAGAUCCCACUACUUAUCAGCACGGAAAUUUUGACCUGCUCCGUUUCUGACUUGGACUGGUUCACCCCUCCUUAAGCAACCUGGUGGUCCCCCACUCUGGUAGGUCACCACAUUGAUGCCGAAUUUAGUGUGGACACCCAAUUGGCAUAGUGCAUUACAGCCCAGAACUCCUGGGUGCAAGAGAUCCUCCCACCUCAGCCUCCCGAGUAGCUGGGACUAUAGGCACGUGCCACCGUGCUCGACUCUGGCAUCCAAUUUUAUGACCUGUAUGACUUAGAUCAUGAGGUCCAGCCUAGAUAUUUUUUUUUUUUACAAAAAGGAAUUCCAAUCUUUUUGUUUAAUGUUUCUAAAAAUAGUAAAGAAGACCUGCUUUAUCUAAGUAAUAUUUUCUAUUUUAUUUAUUCAUAU